AUGUGGGGAGGACCCAGGAGCUGCCCUUCCCCUUCCAACCCUACAAAGAUGCUCUUCCAACCCUACAGAGACACCCCUCCCCUUCCAAUCCUAUGGAGCUGCCCUUCCCCACCCAACCCUACAGAGACGUCCUCCUCAAUCCAACCCUACAAAGAUUCCCUUCCAACCCUACAAAGAUGCCCUUCCCCUUCCAACCCUAUACAGCUACCCUUCCAACCCUACAAAGAUGUCCUUCCCCACCCAAUCCUACAGAGCUGCCCUUCCCCAACCAACCCUACAGAGAUGUACUCCUCAACCCAACCCUACAAAGAUGCCCUUCCCCUUCCAACCCUACAGAGCCGCUCUUCCACGGGGCCAGCGGCCCCCCAAGGAGCCGGCGUUGCACAAGAGCCUCCCCCCGCCCUCGCCGUCACCAAGGAACCCGCCAUUUCCCCACUUCCUUGGCGAGCCCUUCUCCUUCCUCCUGCCUUAUGCAAGCGGCCGGGUGAGGAAACACCGGGGCACCUUCCCCGGGGGGCUAACGGGGGGGGGCUCGCGGAGCCGGGGAUGGGACCCCAGGGCGAGGAGGAGGGCGCGAUGUGGAAGAGGAGACCACGGGGAAGAGUUGGGUUGAGCACAACGCAACCACGGGGGGAUUGGGUGCCCAUAGGGGAUUGGGUGCCUAUAGGGGAUUGGGUGCCUAUAGGGGAUUGGGUGCCUAUAGGGGAUUGGGUGCCCAUAGGGGAUUGGGUGCCCAUAGGGGAUUGGGAUUUGGACCCCAUGGAGAUGGAUUUUGGUGCCUCCGAGCAUCGCAACGCGACCAAGAGGCACCACCGGGAGCCCCCCGGCGCGCACGGAGGGGGUCGGAGCCCACCCGGGGGGAAACCUCGGAGCCCACCGGGGUCGGGGUCGGGAUUUUGGGGGCUCACCUGGUCCCCGCGGGCUGCGGCCGCUCUCCCGGCGCUGAGGGCGAAGGCCGGGGCCGCGGGGCAGCGCGGUUUUAUGCCGGCGGUGAAGAGGAAGCGGUGGCGGGGCCGCCGGGGCUGGGUGGGGUGGCGACCCGAAAUAGGAGGAAACGGGGGUGGCGAAACCCCAAAUUCUGUGUUUUUUUUUUUUUUUUUUUUUAAUUUUUUAUUUUUAUUUUUUGGGAAUUCCAAGGUGGUGCCCUGA
rnacentral:lncRNA from 1 species